AGUAUUCAUACCCCUUCAUGUUUUUCACAUUUUGUUAUGUUGCUGCCUUAUGUUAAACUGCCUUAAAUUAAUUUUUUUUUUCCUCAUUAAUCUACACUCCAUACACCAUAAUGACAAAGCAAAAAUAGAAUUGUCACAACUUCGUAAAUGUGACCCUGGACCACAAAACCUUUAGUAGCACGGGUAUAUUUGUAGCAAUAGCCAAAAAUACAUUGUAUGGGUCAAAAUUGUCGAUUUUUUAUUUUAUAGCAAAAAUCAUUAGGGUAUUAAGUAAAGAUCAUGUUGCAUGAAGAUAUUUUGUUAAUUUCCCACCGUAAAUAUCUCAAAACUUAAUUUUUUAUUAGUUAUAUGCAUUGCUAAGAACUUCAUUUGGACAACUUUAAAGGCGAUUUUCUCAGUAUUUUGAUUUUUUUGCGCCCUCAGAUUUCAGAUUUUCAAAUAGUUGCAUCUUGGCCAAAUAUUGUCCUAUCCUAACAAACCACACAUCAAUGGAAAGCUUAUUUAUUCAGAUUUCAGAAUUUGUAUAUGACUGGUUUUGUGGUACAGGGUCACGGAUUUAUUACAAAUAAUAAAUACUGAAAUAAGUACAAACUUAACUCAGUACUUAGUAGAAGCACCUUUAAAAUAAAAUGUAUACAAACCUUUAUUUCGCUGAAGAAAAAUGACCCAGCGUUGUGCCGUCACACCGACAGGGGCCGCUCCCACGAUAGUUGAUUGACAUGAGUGCCUUACCUCAGAUCAGCUGUAACAGUCCGACCUCCAUUGUUUCAAUGAUGGAGCAGGGAUGUAAGUUAGACAGGAAUAUCUCAGAUUGAGGUGUUGUGUUGCUGGAUGUAAUAAUGAACACAGUGGUCGUCAUUUACUCCUGACAUCUGAGCCGCUGGAGAUGCAUUGUAUUACAUUUGUUUGUGAAGGGAAUGCGCCUCCUGAUCUACAUAUAUCUGUCUAUGUUCGCACAAAUCAUCCGUGAUCCUGCUUCACUUACAGCAGAAAUUUUUUCCUUAAUCAUCUUGUUUUUUCGAUCAUGAGAGGAGAUGUUUCACGUGUUAUGAGGAGGAUUGCUCACAAACAGUGAGAUGUGAAAGGGAUGACUACUGCUUCACUGCGAAUGGAAAUCAGUAUAAAUCACAGAAUGUAAAAGGAUGUGCCUCUGGACACAUCUGUGAUGAUCCACUAAAAUGGAAAGAACUUGGUGAAAACAUCACAUGUUGUUG